rnacentral:lncRNA from 1 species
CCUUGGCAGAUCAGGCACGGCAUGGUCAGUACCAUACACCCAGGCUUCUGCUUCACACUGUAAAGAUGGCAACGGUUCUGCAACACAGACAGUCAGGAUGUCUCCUGGGAGGAAGAAGAGCCUACAGAGGGGCGACUUCUAAGACAUCGAGGGGAAAAAGAACAGAGAAAAGGUGUUAUCCCAGAGCAAAAACCUGCCUGCGAAAACUCUCCAAGACCCUGUGUCUCGGGCAUUAAACUAUUAGAACCGUCAAGUGUCUCCAGAGGAACUUAAUGCGCCUUAAAAACACGCGAGAAAAGCAAAGGAAGACAGCGCUGUGUUU